rnacentral:rRNA from 1 species
AUUGAACGCUGGCGGCAGGCCUAACACAUGCAAGUCGAACGAGAGGCGGACGGGUGAGUAAUGUCUGGGAAACUGCCUGAUGGAGGGGGAUACCUACUGGAAACGGUAGCUAAUACCGCAUACCAUCAGAUGUGCCCAGCUGGGAUUAGAUAGUAGGUGGGGUAAAGGCUCACCAAGGCUCCGAUCCCUAGCUGGUCCGAGAGGAUGACCAGCAACACUGGAACUGAGACACGGUCCAGACUCCUACGGGAGGAAGCAGUGGGGAAUAUUGCACAAUGGGCGCAAGCCUGAUGCAGCCAUGCCGCGUGUAUGAAGAAGGCCUUCGGGUUGUAAAGUACUUUCAGCGGGGAGGCGUUACCCGCAGAAGAAGCACCGGCUAACUCCGUGCCAGCAGCCGCGGUAAUUC